UACGUAGGGGGCAAGCGUUGUCCGGAUUUACUGGGCGUAAAGAGCGCGUAGGCGGACGUUUAAGUGUGGCCUGAAAGCCCCCGGCUCAACCGGGGAUCCGGGUUGCAAACUGGACGUCUUGAGGGGGAUAGGGGAAGGUGGAAUUCCUGGUGUAGCGGUGAAAUGCGUAGAGAUCAGGAGGAACACCAGUGGCGAAGGCGGCUUCCUGGACCGACACUGACGCUGAGGCGCGAAAGCUAGGGGAGCAAACGGG
rnacentral:rRNA from 1 species